UGUGGGAACACUCGCUGCCGCUUCCUCCUAAUCUUCUGACUCAUACUGCUGGUUUUUCAGAGACUUCCACGCCCAAUUUCCACCCUAAGACCGAGCCUCCACCUGCUCCGGGAGCGUCGCUCUCACAGUGUAAUGGCACACUGGAGGACAGAGCUUUUUCCCCUGAGCAGCUACAUAUGGAGACGCAAAAUGGGACCCAGCCAGAUGGCAUAAAUCACUCAUCGUCGGGCUUUAACAGCUUGGAGUGUAAGACGGAGGUUGGAGUGUCGUCGUGUCUGCUCACUCCCACUGCCUCCCCGAGAGACUCG
rnacentral:lncRNA from 1 species